GCGGGCGGCCGCGGCCGCCAGCUGGGGGCGGGACCGAACGUCCUGUGGGCGGGGCGCGGCGGCGGCGGCGGGAUUGGCUGGGGCGGGCGGGUGCGCAGUCCGCUGGGCAGAGGCUUGGGCCGCCGAGCUGGACCCGGACCGGUUUUGGGUACUGUACUGGGGGCAGGGCAGAGAGGUGGGCGGCAGUUGGGGUGCGGUGAUUGUAGUAGGCUAGGGCGCUUUCGGGUCCCCAUUGCAGCCCCCGGAUGAGCCCGCAGUAUUUUCCUUAUAUGAUCAGGUCCCAUUGCGGGCGGCGCCGCUUGCCCGGAGCCUGAGAGGAUUAUGAAAACGUGGCGAGCGAAAUGGGGCCAGGGGACCUGGAGCAGGGGCGUGAGGAGAGUAGGCAGCGGGUGAGGCUGGACGGGAGGGAGGUCUAGGGAGGCCUCUGCCGCGGGCACUGUGAGUCCUGGCCGAUGAUGACGAGACCACUGCGCAAUCUGAGUUCUGGGAACCAGGUGAUGGAGUAUGUUCUGAGAACAGACUGAGGCCGGGCAAGCAGGAGGCGGCCGCGGCAGGGGAGAGGCGGAGAGCCCCUCGAUACCAGGGCUCGGAGGGCCGGGCUGCCUAGCGAGGGCUUCUUUUGAGUGCGUAGGGGUGGUGGGUGGCAUGGACGGUUUCUCUGAGUCGUCAGCGAAUGCCCCCCCUAGAAUCCUGCUUUUCAAACACUUUGGUGACACUCUUGCAAUGUUGGGGUGUUUUUAAAUCCAAAUUUGUAUUAUGAAAACUUACAAACUUACAGAAAAGUGGGAAGACUUGUACAGUGGACACAUAUCGACCCAAUUGUUAACAUUUUGCUAUAUUGCUAUCCACCUGUUCUUCCAUCAAACCAUCUUAUCUUUUUAAUGCAGACCUUAGUACUCUACACCCAUGAACACAUCAGCACACAUUAUUCAUUUACAGUUCUUUUUAAGGCAAAAUAUCCACGCAAUCAAAUGUACAAAUCUUAGACAAGCUUCACAAAUGCUCAUGUAUAGGCCGGGCGCCGUGGCUCACGCCUGUAAUCCCAGCACUUUGGGAGGCCGAGGUGGGCGGAUCACGAGGUCAGGAGAUCGAGACCAUCCUGGCUAACACGGUGAAACCUCAUCUCUACUAAAAAUACAAAAAAAUUAGCUGGGCGUGGUGGCGGGCGCCUGUAGUCCCAGCUGCUGGGGAGGCUGAGGCAGGAGAAUGGUGUGAACCUGGGAGGCGGAGCUUGCAGUGAGCCGAGAUCGUGCCACUGCACUCCAGCCUGGGUGACAGAGCAAGACUCCGUCUCAAAAAAAAAAAAAAAAAAAAUGCUCAUGUAUAGAGUGUUCAUUUUUGUACACAGUUUUCUAUUCAGUUUGCCUCUACAUAUUUAAGAAAGGUUAAGUAUCACAACUUCCCACUGCAGAUCACCAUCAGUAGGUCUUUAUAGAUGUACUGUGUUUUCUCUAAUUGGAAAUGUCACUAAUGAGUGGAUUCUAACACCAUUCAGUGAAAGGUUUACAUAUAUUAAAACACGUAAAUAUAUGAGAGAAUAUUGACAUAGUCUCCAAGUCUCAUGAAGAGGAAAGGGUACCUUUACAAUGGAUAAAUCUUGCGGGUAUUACUUCACCAAAUUAUGAAGUAAUGGUGUCCCAUCACCAAUAAAGGGACAGACUGACGUCAUGCGCUCCCCUUGCUACAGCGACAACACAAUCUCACUUGCGUAGAAUUUCUGCUGAAAACAUCUGGCCUGAAUCUAAUUAUAAGGAAACAAUGAGACAAAUCCACAUGGAGGUACAUUCCACAGAACAACUGACCUGAACUCUUUAAAAACAUCAGUGUGGUGAAAAACAAAAAAUGGCUAAAAUAGGAAUAGUAUCACAUUAAAGGAGACUAGAUAUGUGACACAUAUUGUAUGAGAUCCUUAAUUAAAACCUGGGUUAAAAAAAUACUCUAAAAGACAGUAUUGGGACAACUGGAGAAACAUAUAAAUUAUAGAUGACAUGGUAAUAUUGACAUUAAGUUUCCUGAUCAUGAUAAUUAUAUUGUAGUUAUGUAGAAGAUUGUCCUUUGUUCUAAGGAAAUACAUACUGAAAUAUAUGGGGGUGAAGAAUCAUGAGCUUGCAGAUGACUGGAAAAAAUGCAUUUAUAUAUAUACAGUUAUGUGUUGCUUAACCACGAGAAUCCAUCCUGAACGAUGUGCUAUUAGGCGAUUUCGUCAUUGUGUGAACAUCAUAGAUUUCACUUACACAAACCUCAAUGGUAGAGCCUACUACACACCUAGGCUAUAUGGUACAGCCUAUUGCUCCUAGGCUACAAACCUGUAUAGCAUUUUACUCUACUGAACACUGUAGGCAGUUGUAGCAAGUAGUAAGCAUUUGUGCAUCUAAACAUAGGAAAGAUAGUGCAUGACUAUACACUGGCAGAGAAAGAUAAAGCAAAUAUGGCCAAAUAUUACCAACUGGGGAAUCCAAAUGAAGAAUAUACAGUUGUUCAUUAUUCUUUUUCUUUUUUUUUUUUUUGAGACAGUCUUGCUUUGUUGCCCAGGCUGGAGUGCAGUGGCAUGAUCUCCACUUACUGCAACCUCCACCUCCCAGGUUCAAGUGAUUUUCCUGCCUCAGCCUCCCGAUUAUCUGGGAUUACAGGUGCUUGCCAUCCUGCCCGGCUAAUUUUUGUAUUUUUAGUAGAGACAGGUUUCGCCAUGUUGGCCAGGCUGGUCUCAAACUCCUGACCUCAGGUGAUCUGCCCACCUCGGCCUCGCAAAGUGCUGGCAUUAGAGGCGUGAGCCACUGCACCUGGCCCAUUAUUCUUUUUCUAAGAGGGGAGUCUUGCUUGCUAUGUUGCCAGGGCUGGCCUCAAACUCCUGGGCUUAAGGGAUCCUCCUGUCCCAGCCUCCUGAGUAGCUUGGGACUACAGGCGUGUACCACAUUCUUCCAUUUUUGCAACUUUUCUGUAGGUUUUAACUCUUUCAAAAUAGAAGUUGGGAUAAAAAAUGUCCUUCACGUAAGCUACAAAAUUGCUUGAAACAAGUUAUUUUUGAAAAUAUUUAGUCCUUUUCAGGUUUACAUCAUGUUUAAGCAGUUAUGUAUUCUUGUAAUUUUAAUAUGUAUAUUAAAAUUGUGAUAAUUUUUGUCUAGAUGUGGAGUCUUUCAUGAGAUGUAAAGUUAUUGUUCUACUUUUAGACAUUUAACUCUCAGUAUUUUUAUAAAUGCAAUAUUAUCAUUUCCUUACUUAUUUUCCUAUGCUUAAACACAGUUUCUCCUGCUUUCCUAUAACACUAAAAAUUGACGGUGGCUUAAGCAGCAGUGGCUUUAGAAGUUUCAGUAAUGGAAACUGGGGAAAGCUGACGAAGUCAGUAGGGCCUAGGACAACUUUUAAAAAUGAGUAUAUGAAUCUGAAUGAGUGAGAUAAGUGAAUUUGCUGAUCUUGAGUAGUUUGGAACGUUAUGUGUGUGCUCACUGUUAAUCUAAUUGCUUUGGAAAUACUUCAAUUUUUGUUAAUUAGAACGCAAAUGUUGAAUGUGGUUUUAUUCUUAAAACAAAUACUAACUCUUCAGAAAGUUCAAGUUGCCAAGCAAGAACAUCAGAUGAAUGAAAUUGUUCGCAGUGGCAAAUCCGUACUGGCCUGCAGCAACUCACUUCUUGCCUCCUCAAAGGAAUGAAGCAUAAGGCAGAGUGAGAGACCGAGGCAAGUUUUUGAGCAGGAGUGAGAGUUUAUUAAGAAGUAUUAGAGCAGGAAUAAAAGUAAGUAAAGUACACUUGGAAGAGGGCCAAGUGGGCAACUUGAGAGAUUCAGCUGUGCCACCUGACCCUUGAUUUGGGGAUUGAUACAUUGGUACGGUUCUAGGCCUUGCAUUACUUCUUCCGAUUUUUCCCUUGGGGUGGGCUGUCGGCAUGCUCAGUGGCCUGCCGGCACUUGGGAGGGGUGGCAUGUGCAGUGUGUUUACUGAAGUUGUGCACAUACUCACUAGAGACAUUCCUCCCUUACCAGUCUUGUUCCUAGAGGAAGCUCAUAUACCAGUUAAACUCUACCAUUUUGCCUCUUAGUGAGCAUGUUUGAGCCCACUCUCCCAAAAUCUUAUCCACAAGCUGCUGAUCACCAGAUUCUAGUAUUUUCCAUCUAUUGGGAGAAUGCCUUUCCCUGACGCCAGUUGAGACGAAUGAUUAUUUUAGAUAGUUUAACAACUUGCCUGACCAUCACCUGAUAGUCGCUUGACAUUCCUGGGCGGGGUGGGGGAGGUUUUCUCCUGCCCUGCCCAAGUCUGCCUAGCUACCUAUUCUAAGGGAAUGUAGACAGGAAGUAAUAAAGACACCAAUACGCCAAACUCCCUCAUGUUAAGUUUACCCUAAGUCUUGAUGUGUUCCCAGUAACCCUAAGGCACUGUCUCAAACUUAAGAUAGAUAUUUGUUUUUCUUUUUUCUCUACUUGUCUGAAAGUUAUUUGCAGCUUCUAUAUCUUUGGCUCAACUUUCAUUUAGUAGCAUAACCUUAGGCAAAUCUUCCUUGGAUCUAAGUUUACUCUGCAAAAUACUAAUGUUGGUAGAAGGAGACAAUGCUGUUGUUGCCUUCCAGCCAGAAACCUCCAGAAACACACCUAUAGUUGAACAAGUUGGGUUUAAUGUUCUUUGGAAGAAGGGAGAUUGCACAUCAUGGGUGUGCCUUUGGGAACUGCAGCACAUCUCAGUAAAAGGGUGGUAGGAUUUGGGGUUUGGUUAGGUGAUUUGGGGAGGAUCCAAGGAAGUACGGGUUCACUCUGGAUUGGGUACUGUCAGGAAGUAGGGACAAGUCUUUGGGUAUCAGUACUAUUCAGGGUUCUCCAGAGGGACAGAACUAAUAGAACAUAUGUAUAUAUGGAAGGGAGUUUAAGUCCAGGCCUGGUGGCUCA
rnacentral:lncRNA from 1 species